UUACUCACUUCUGGAAGCAGAGGAAGGAGGAAGCCCGACCUGCACAUGCUUGCACCAUCUGCUGGCAGCAUCUCCACUGACAGACAUUCCUAGAAGGGAUUCUGGAAUUCCUCAUCCACACCUAGGGACACGAGGCCACCGUUAUAAAGGUUUAAGAUUCAGGAGCCCUUGGGUGGAUCCGGCGCGCAGCGUUCCCUCCUGCCGUGGAAUUUCACCUAGUAAUUUCUGUGGCCCACAGAAAAUCCUUGGAGGGGUUUGUCUGGCUUCAGAAGCAAAUCUAAGUGCCUGUGGCUUGACAAAUAAACAAUCUGAAUGUGCUUAAUGACUCACAA